rnacentral:rRNA from 1 species
UGAUACGUAGGGUGCGAGCGUUGUCGGAUUUAUUGGGCGUAAAGGGCUCGUAGGUGGUUGAUCGCGUCGGAAGUGUAAUCUUGGGGCUUAACCCUGAGCGUGCUUUCGAUACGGGUUGACUUGAGGAAGGUAGGGGAGAAUGGAAUUCCUGGUGGAGCGGUGGAAUGCGCAGAUAUCAGGAGGAACACCAGUGGCGAAGGCGGUUCUCUGGGCCUUUCCUGACGCUGAGGAGCGAAAGCGUGGGGAGCGAACAGGCUUAGAUACCCUGGUAGUCCACGCUGUAAACGGUGGGUACUAGGUGUGGGGUCCAUUCCACGGGUUCCGUGCCGUAGCUAACGCUUUAAGUACCCCGCCUGGGGAGUACGGCCGCAAGGCUAAAACUCAAAGGAAUUGACGGGGCCCCGCACAAGCGGCGGAGCAUGCGGAUUAAUUCGAUGCAACGCGUAGAACCUUACCUGGGUUUGACAUGGAUCGGGAGCGCUCAGAGAUGGGUGUGCCUCUUUUGGGGUCGGUUCACAGGUGGUGCAUGGCUGUCGUCAGCUCGUGUCGUGAGAUGUUGGGUUAAGUCCCGCAACGAGCGCAACCCUUGUUCACUGUUGCCAGCACGUUAUGGUGGGGACUCAGUGGAGACCGCCGGGGUCAACUCGGAGGAAGGUGGGGAUGACGUCAAGUCAUCAUGCCCCUUAUGUCCAGGGCUUCACGCAUGCUACAAUGGCUGGUACAGAGAGUGGCGAGCCUGUGAGGGUGAGCGAAUCUCGGAAAGCCGGUCUCAGUUCGGAUUGGGGUCUGCAACUCGACCUCAUGAAGUCGGAGUCGCUAGUAAUCGCAGAUCAGCAACGCUGCGGUGAAUACGUUCCCGGGGCUUGUACACACCGCCCGUCAAGUCAUUAAAGUUGGUAA